rnacentral:rRNA from 1 species
GACGAACGCUGGCGGCGUGCCUAACACAUGCAAGUCGAACGAAGAAUGUUUUCGGAAUAUUCUUAGUGGCGGACGGGUGAGUAACGCGUGAACAAUCUGCCCCGUACAAAGGGAUAGCCUCGGGAAACCGGGAUUAAAACCAUAUAACACUUAACUGCCGCAUGGUAGUGAAGUCAAAUCGAGUAAGAGGUAUGGGAUGAGUUCGCGUCUGAUUAGCUAGUUGGUGAGGUAAGGGCUCACCAAGGCGACGAUCAGUAGCCGGCCUGAGAGGGUGAACGGCCACACUGGAACUGAGACACGGUCCAGACUCCUACGGGAGGCAGCAGUGGGGAAUAUUGCACAAUGGAGGGAACUCUGAUGCAGCGACGCCGCGUGAGUGAAGAAGGUCUUCGGAUCGUAAAACUCUGUCCUUGGUGAAGAAAAGGACGGUAGCCAAGGAGGAAGCCCCGGCUAACUACGUG